rnacentral:tRNA from 2 species
UAGCUCAGCCGGACAGAGCAAUUGCCUUCUAAGCAAUCGGUCACUGGUUCGAAUCCAG